UACGUAGGGGGCAAGCGUUGUCCGGAAUCAUUGGGCGUAAAGAGCGUGUAGGCGGCUCGGUAAGUCCGCUCUGAAAGCCCGGGGCUCAACCCCGGGAGGCGGGCGGAUACUGUCGGGCUAGAGUCCGGAAGAGGCGAGUGGAAUUCCUGGUGUAGCGGUGAAAUGCGCAGAUAUCAGGAGGAACACCGGUGGCGAAGGCGGGUCUCUGGGCCGAUAUUGACGCUGAGGUGCGAAAGCGUGGGGAGCAAACAGG
rnacentral:rRNA from 1 species